AAAGUGAGCUGGCAGCCUCCAGCCGCCCGUCUUUGUAAGGAGACCACUGAGACGAGCAGGAGCGUGGAGCAGCGGCUUCUCUGCUGCCCUGACUUUUUAAGAAAUCUCAAUGAACUAUUUGUAGACAAUCACUGAUCCUGCCUGCAAGAUUUUUUUUUCUUUUUGCAAGGCAUAGACACCGAUCAGUGUUAAGUGAAGAUCACAUCUUAUAUGCGAUCUUGACUUUUUUUUUUGGUCUUACAUUAUAUUUUUAUAGAUUUUGUUAUAAUCAUGGUGCUGGGAAAGGUAAAGAGUUUGACAAUAAGCUUUGACUGUCUUAAUGACAGUAAUGUCCCCGUGUAUUCUAGCGGGGACACUGUCUCAGGAAGGGUAAAUUUAGAAGUUACUGGGGAAAUCAGAGUAAAAUCUCUUAAAAUUCAUGCAAGAGGACAUGCGAAAGUACGCUGGACUGAAUCAAGAAACGCCGGCUCCAAUACUGCCUAUACACAGAAUUACACUGAAGAAGUAGAAUAUUUCAACCAUAAAGACAUCUUAAUUGGGCACGAAAGAGAUGAUGAUACUUCUGAAGAAGGCUUCAACACUAUCCAUUCAGGAAGGCAUGAAUAUGCAUUUAGCUUCGAGCUUCCACAGACACCACUUGCUACCUCAUUUGAAGGCCGACAUGGCAGUGUGCGCUAUUGGGUGAAAGCCGAGUUGCAUAGGCCUUGGCUUCUACCAGUAAAAUUAAAGAAGGAAUUUACAGUCUUUGAGCACAUAGAUAUCAACACUCCUUCAUUACUGUCACCCCAAGCAGGCACAAAAGAAAAGACGCUCUGUUGCUGGUUCUGCACCUCAGGCCCAAUAUCCUUAAGUGCCAAGAUUGAGAGGAAGGGCUACACCCCAGGUGAAUCAAUACAGAUAUUUGCUGAGAUUGAGAACUGCUCUUCCCGAAUGGUAGUGCCAAAGGCAGCCAUUUACCAAACACAGGCCUUCUACGCCAAAGGGAAAAUGAAGGAAGUAAAACAGCUUGUAGCGAACUUACGUGGGGAGUCCUUGUCAUCCGGGAAGACAGAGACGUGGAAUGGCAAGCUGCUCAAAAUCCCACCCGUUUCACCCUCCAUCCUUGACUGUAGCAUAAUCCGCGUGGAGUAUUCACUAAUGGUAUACGUGGAUAUUCCUGGGGCCAUGGAUUUGCUCCUCAGUUUGCCACUAGUCAUCGGGACCAUCCCUCUGCAUCCGUUUGGUAGCAGAACCUCAAGUGUGAGCAGUCAGUGUAGCAUGAAUAUGAACUGGCUUGGUCUGUCCCUUCCUGAAAGACCUGAAGAACAUGUUGUUCGAAUUGCGUGUAUCUUUCUCCUUCAGCACCACCCAGCUAUGCAGAGGUCGUGACAGAGGAACAGAGACGGAAUAAUCUUGCACCAGUGAGUGCUUGUGAUGAUUUUGAGAGAGCUCUUCAAGGACCACUGUUUGCUUAUAUCCAGGAGUUUCGGUUCCUGCCUCCACCUCUCUAUUCAGAGAUUGAUCCAAAUCCUGACCAGUCAUCUGAGGACAGACCAUCAUGCCCCUCUCGCUGAAGGAACACUUGACUGAAUCAAGUUGAUGUGGGUUCUGAACUGUAUCUCUUCCGGCUGAGGACAGAGAAGUAUCUUGGAGACACGUUUUCAGAGGAAGUGGAAUUGCUUUUGCCCAGACAAAUGGCAAACACGUGAAACAACCAGUGAUCAUGCUUUAGAAUCCUACAGCAUCAUUUGGGGCUGCUCCAACAUGCUUGAAGAUCUGAGCUUUCCUUCUUUAAAACUGACACAUGCUAAGGGCACUCUUCUUAGCUUGUGGUCAUCCGUGUCAAGACACCUUUGCAGAGAAGGAUGUUGUCCUUCCUAUUUGAAAAUUUGCACAUGCUCAAUGCUUACAUUGUGCAGUUCAAUGUCACUACAGCUUUUUCUCCAUUUAUGCCAGACUCUUGAUACUCUUAAAACUUGUUUGUGGUCAGCACAACAUGGAACAAAAGAAAGCUUUGAAAAACUAUGACAUUACAAAACAAAACGCACUGACAGGUUUUUUUUUUUCCUUAGUUUGUUUUUUGUUGUUGUUGUUUUAAGUUAAUGUAGCCUGGACUAUACCUGCGUAUGCACAUGCUCAGAAUUGUCCUACUAGGCUGACCAUGGAUCACCUCUUCAGCUCGGAUCCUAUUGUGGAUUUAUUUACAAACAUCAAAUGCCUUCAAGCCAAUCCUUUCGCUGUAUGUUUUGCAGCCUACUGUAGUAGAUAAGCAACAGAUACAAGGAGAAGAGAGACUGGAGGAGGCCAAUGAAAGACUUCGUAGGACUGUGGUUUGGUUUCUGUGAGAGUGUUGCCUUUCUACUAUUGACAGCAGAGCAGCAUUGUUACUGACUGCCUAACAUCACUCAAUCUCAGGUGAAUGCAUCACUUGCCAAACUGUCGGAAUGCCGUCUGUGUGUGUUGCACUGUUACGUUGUUGUUGUUCUUGUUAAUUGGUUGGCUUUUCUGCAGAGGGAAAUUCGGAAAUGGGACAUACACAAAACUGAUAACCCACCCACAUUCCCCUUUUUAUCAUUACAUAUAAGAAGAGACAAAGCUCAGAGAGGAGAAAGACAGUAGGGCAGGCACCAGCGUAGGCAAGGGUUGCUGCUCUGAAAAACUAUUUUUAUUACUUUAAAAAUGAAUGGAAGCUGUCCAGUCACUAGGGAAGGGAGGGGAAAGUGCAUUUAUUUUUAUACAGAGUUACUUAAUUACCUCCAAAACACAUAUGUUGGAAAUCAUUUUUGCUGAUGCAAAGUACUUUAGUAAGCCGGAAUAUGUUUAUCAAGGUCAUGAUGGGAGAAGCUUCAUUUAUACAUUUGCUCAAAUUUGAGAGAAUAAAAUCCCAAAUUUGUUUCCAAAGUGCAUAACUUUGGAAGUAGAAAUGCUAGAAUGUUUGCUGGGAUAAGUGGCUUUAGUUUGUUCAUGUGUAUAAUAUUGUUUUUCAACAAUUUUUUUUCUGUCAUCUAAGAGGAAUUGAUAGGUCACUAGUUUUGAGUAUAUAUAGGUGGGGCAGCACAUGAGUAAAUUAUUUUUAAAGAUAAUGUAUGGUUGGAUCGUAACGAUUUACUAACAUUCAUGAAGCAACUAAAACCCCAUCUUCUCAAAAUACAAAAUAGAGUGAUUUUGUAAAAGUUGGCUUGUGUUUUAGUGACACCAGCAUCUCUGAUGUUGCAACAUAUGUGUGAGAUGGAUGUUACAUCUGUCCACUUUGCCAUCUGACCCACAGUUAGAGUGACUGAGAAUAAUAGUAACUCUGGCCUGGUGCUUGACCUGGUUAAAUACUGUCUUAAAGCUUCAUACAAAAUAGGCUUUUCCAUAAGUGGCCUUUAAGAAAACAUGGAAGAGAAUUCAUGUUUGAAAUAAUGCUGACAGGGUGAAGAAAGCCCAUUGUAAAAAUGAGUCGCGUUUUAAGUGAUUCAGUUAAGGGUUUGUGCUCCCGUAGCAAACUAUACUAGAUAAUAAGGAAAUGGGGGUGAAUUAUUUUUUUAAUUGUUAAAUCAUUUUGUGAAUGUCCCCCCUCAGAUGAAGCUGAUGGGCUAUUUGGCAUAAAGGGCAUUUGGUGGUUUUGUUUUUGUUGGGAGGGACUGUCUGAAAGCACCUGACUCUGUGUUAUGUCUAACUAGGGAACAAUUGUUGGUGUGCAUGGCCACGGGGCACUCACUACCAUGUUCUACAAAAUACUUUAUUAAGCAAGAAUGACCAAUAUUCUAAUAAUUGGCACUGGUGACAAAUUUCUUUUAAGAUUUGGCAAAAUAAAGUUUUAUUUUUCCCAUUAAGUAUUUCUUUACUCUUUAGAGGCAUUACACUAGUCUAAAUAUUGGUCAAUUCCUGACAUAACAUCUGAGGGUCACAGUUGCGCUCUAGUAUUCAAGAUAGCUUCCUAAUUUUUCAUUUAGGAAAAGUAAAAUCCAAAAUGUUCGCGAAACAAAGUGCAAUAUUAAAUGUUUGCUUUAUAGAUUAUAUUCUAUGGCUGUUGUAAUCUUUUAUUUGGUGCUGAAUAUGUUCUUGUAGGCUCUGUUUUAAGAAAACCAUGUGGGAAAUGAUUUAACUUUUCCUAUUGCUCUUCCUUGUGGAAAAUAAAAGUGUUUUUUUUUUCUUUUUUUUGUA